rnacentral:rRNA from 1 species
UACGAAGGGUGCAAGCGUUAAUCGGAAUUACUGGGCGUAAAGCGCGCGUAGGUGGUUCAGUAAGUUGGAUGUGAAAUCCCCGGGCUCAACCUGGGAGCUGCAUCCAAAACUGCUGAGCUAGAGUACGGUAGAGGGUGGUGGAAUUUCCUGUGUAGCGGUGAAAUGCGUAGAUAUAGGAAGGAACACCAGUGGCGAAGGCGACCACCUGGACUGAUACUGACACUGAGGUGCGAAAGCGUGGGGAGCAAACAGG